ensembl:rRNA 5S_rRNA 5S ribosomal RNA
GCCAGCAGCCAUACACCCUGCAACUCACAACUGGCAACCCACUGAAGCUCAGCAGGUGUGAGCCUGGUCAGUACCUGGAUGGGAGACCUCCUGGGAAAAACUAAGGUUGCUGCUGGAA